UACAGAGGUCUCAAGCGUUGUUCGGAUUCAUUGGGCGUAAAGGGCGCGUAGGCGGUGACGCAAGUCUGGUGUGAAAUCUCGGAGCUCAACUCCGAAAUUGCACUGGAUACUGCGUGACUCGAGGACUGUAGAGGAGAUCGGAAUUCACGGUGUAGCAGUGAAAUGCGUAGAUAUCGUGAGGAAGACCAGUUGCGAAGGCGGAUCUCUGGGAAGUUCCUGACGCUGAGGCACGAAGGCCAGGGGAGCAAACGGG
rnacentral:rRNA from 1 species